AGUUGGUCAGUGUUGGUCAGGCUGGUCUUAGAUGGUCAGCUGCUCUUAGAUGGUCAGUGUUGUUCAGGCUGGUCUUAGAUGGUCAGUGUUGUUCAGGCUGGUCUUAGAUGGUCAGUGUUGGUCAGGCUGGGCUUAGAUGGUCAGGCUGGUGUUAGAUGUUCAGUGUUGGUCAGACUGGGCUUAGAUGGUCAAUGUUGGUCAGGCUGGGCUUAGAUGGUCAGUGUUGACCAGGCUGGGCUUAGAUGGUCAGGCUGGUCUUAGAUGGUCAGUGUUGGUCAGGCUGGUCUUAGAUCGUCAGAGUUGGUCAGGCUGGGCUUAGAUGGUCAGGCUCGUCUUAGAUGGUCAGUGUUGUUCAGGCUGGUCUUAGAUCGUCAGAGUUGGUCAGGCUGGUCUUAGAUGGUCAGUGUUGUUCAGGCUGGUCUUAGAUGGUCAGUGUUGUUCAGGCUGGGCUUAGAUGGUCAGGCUGGUCUUAGAUGGUCAGAGUUGGUCAGGCUGGUCUUAGAUGGUCAGUGUUGUUCAGGCUGGGCUUAGAUGGUCAGGCUGUUUUUAGAUGGUCAGUGUUGGUCAGGCUGGUCUUAGCUGGUCAUAGCUAACCAGACUUAACUGCUGAUGUUGGCUGGGUAACAUAUAGACCAGUUCAUUGUAUUUUAAAAAAAAUGCUAAAGAAUCACUGAUUGAUCUGAUUGACAGUCUGUUUGAUUAACUGAUCACAUGAUGUCUUUUAUUUUUCCUGUCACUUGGUGUUGCGAAGUAUACUUUAAAUAAUGUUCAGGAGCACAAGCAACCUUUCAAACAAUAUGUUCUUUAUUUGUUCUUGCGGCCUCUUCAAAAAGAACAAAAAACAUGCAACCCUGAUGUUUGCUCUAAAAACUAUGUACAAAAUAAUUAACUGGCAU
ensembl:lncRNA